UAGUCCACGCCGUAAACGAUGGGUACUAGGUGUAGGAGGUAUCGACCCCUUCUGUGCCGGAGUUAACGCAAUAAGUACCCCGCCUGGGGAGUACGGUCGCAAGAUUAAAACUCAAAGGAAUUGACGGGGGCCCGCACAAGCGGUGGAGUAUGUGGUUUAAUUCGACGCAACGCGAAGAACCUUACCAGGUCUUGACAUUGAUCGCUAUCCGCAGAGACGCGGAGUUCUCCUUCGGGAGACGAGAAAAC
rnacentral:rRNA from 1 species